rnacentral:rRNA from 1 species
CCCGGCGGGCCUAACACAUGCAAGUCGAACGGUAACAGGAAGCAGCUUGCUGCUUCGCUGACGAGUGGCGGACGGGUGAGUAAUGUCUGGGAAACUGCCUGAUGGAGGGGGAUAACUACUGGAAACGGUAGCUAAUACCGCAUAACGUCGCAAGACCAAAGAGGGGGACCUUCGGGCCUCUUGCCAUCGGAUGUGCCCAGAUGGGAUUAGCUAGUAGGUGGGGUAACGGCUCACCUAGGCGACGAUCCCUAGCUGGUCUGAGAGGAUGACCAGCCACACUGGAACUGAGACACGGUCCAGACUCCUACGGGAGGCAGCAGUGGGGAAUAUUGCACAAUGGGCGCAAGCCUGAUGCAGCCAUGCCGCGUGUAUGAAGAAGGCCUUCGGGUUGUAAAGUACUUUCAGCGGGGAGGAAGGGAGUAAAGUUAAUACCUUUGCUCAUUGACGUUACCCGCAGAAGAAGCACCGGCUAACUCCGUGCCAGCAGCCGCGGUAAUACGGAGGGUGCAAGCGUUAAUCGGAAUUACUGGGCGUAAAGCGCACGCAGGCGGUUUGUUAAGUCAGAUGUGAAAUCCCCGGGCUCAACCUGGGAACUGCAUCUGAUACUGGCAAGCUUGAGUCUCGUAGAGGGGGGUAGAAUUCCAGGUGUAGCGGUGAAAUGCGUAGAGAUCUGGAGGAAUACCGGUGGCGAAGGCGGCCCCCUGGACGAAGACUGACGCUCAGGUGCGAAAGCGUGGGGAGCAAACAGGAUUAGAUACCCUGGUAGUCCACGCCGUAAACGAUGUCGACUUGGAGGUUGUGCCCUUGAGGCGUGGCUUCCGGAGCUAACGCGUUAAGUCGACCGCCUGGGGAGUACGGCCGCAAGGUUAAAACUCAAAUGAAUUGACGGGGGCCCGCACAAGCGGUGGAGCAUGUGGUUUAAUUCGAUGCAACGCGAAGAACCUUACCUGGUCUUGACAUCCACAGAACUUUCCAGAGAUGGAUUGGUGCCUUCGGGAACUGUGAGACAGGUGCUGCAUGGCUGUCGUCAGCUCGUGUUGUGAAAUGUUGGGUUAAGUCCCGCAACGAGCGCAACCCUUAUCCUUUGUUGCCAGCGGUCCGGCCGGGAACUCAAGGAGACUGCCAGUGAUAAACUGGAGGAAGGUGGGGAUGACGUGUCAUCAUGGCCCUUACGACCAGGGCUACACACGUGCUACAAUGGCGCAUACAAAGAGAAGCGACCUCGCGAGAGCAAGCGGACCUCAUAAAGUGCGUCGUAGUCCGGAUUGGAGUCUGCAACUCGACUCCAUGAAGUCGGAAUCGCUAGUAAUCGUGGAUCAGAAUGCCACGGUGAAUACGUUCCCGGGCCUUGUACACACCGCCCGUCACACCAUGGGAGUGGGUUGCAAAAGAAGUAGGUAGCUUAACCUUCGGGAGGGCGCUUACCACUUUGUGAUUCAUGAA